CCUCUCCGGAUGGGAUCUGCCGUUUCUCAUAACCCAUCAGCUCCCCCCUCCCCAAUCCUCUUAGGCGCCAAAAACCGUAAUUCCAGAGAGUUGACUCAAAAUGCUGCCUGAACGGCUGUGGCUUAUUUUUUUGGACUCCUCUGUAUGGUUUUAAAUGUUUACAUUAGAUUUUGAAGACUCCUAACACCGUUAAUCCAGACCUGGCUCCCGGUUGUCGUGUGGCGUGUGUGUGCGCGGUGUUUCGUGUCGCUUGUGGGGCUCCGUUUCUUGUUUUUGUGUUGUUUUUUUUCUCCUGAUCACAAGACAAUAAAUGCUCAUCCUGUGCUCGAUGAGAAGAACUGGCCGCAUUAGAGAAGUGUGUCUGUUCCUAGGAAAAACAGCGUGUUUAUGGAUGAUGCUUGUUCUCUUGCUGGGGGCCAGCCCAAGACCGAUACGCUGUGGUUUGGACUCUUGCAGCGCUGCAGGAGGCUCAACCCAGCCCUUUGCAGAGGCGGCUCCCGACUUGCCUGUUCCCUUGCCUGGGAGGACAACGUCAUCCCUGGGGUAAACAGGCUCUUUGACACCCAAGCUUCAGCGCCGUUUCCUGAGCGCGAACCCUCCGCGGCGGAAAGGUUACAUCUGCGCGCCCCUGAGCAGCUCGCUUCUCCCGCCUGUUGUGUAGAGCGGUGGAUUUUGUGUUGUCUGCUCGCGAAUUAGCCCUAAUUAACUUGUGCCCUCGGGAGGAAGGCAGGGCUACUGGCUGGAUGCUUUCCCAGCAGAAAUCCCUUGGCUUUUCUGACUAACGUGCUGCCGCUGAGCUGCUCCCGUAGCACGGGGUUGUAUCGAUCUCCGCAGGCUGCGCUUGGCACGCUGCGUGUUCACUGCUGAGUUACGGCACGCUGGAGAUUCGAGCUAAAUAAAAUCAAAACUGUUUGCUUUCCCCGUCUCCCG
rnacentral:lncRNA from 1 species